rnacentral:rRNA from 1 species
CCUAGUUAAUUCUACUAGUAGUUAUAUACUUAUCUUAAAGAUUAAGCUAUAUAUAUCUAAGUAUAAGCAAUUAUAUAAUAAAACUACAAAUAGCUUAUUAUAUAAGUUAUUAUUUAUUUAAUAAUACCUUACUACUUAGAUAACUAUAGUAAUUCUAGAGCUAAUAUAUACUAAAAAUCCUAACUUAUAAAGGGAUAUAUUUAUUAGAUUAAAAACUAAUACCCUUUAGAGCUCACUAGUAAUUCAUAAUAACUUCUUAAAUUAUAUAGCCUUACGCUAGCGAUAGUUUAUUUAAAUUUCUUCCCUAUUAACUUUUAAUACUAAAGUAGUGUUCUAGCAUAGUUAUAAUAGGUAAUAGAGGGUUAAAGCUUAACCCUAGAGAAGGAGCCUGAGAAAUAGCUACUAUAUCUAAGGAAGGCAGCAGGCAUGCAAAUUACCUAAUCUUAACAUAAAGAGGUAGUAAUAAUAAAUACUAAUAUAGGGCUCUUUUAGGUCUUAUAAUUAGAAUAAGUACAAUUUAAAUCCCUUAACGAGGAAUAAUUAGAGGGUAAGUUUAGUGCUAGCAGCUAUAAUAAUUCUAGCUCUAAUAGUAUAUAUUAAAGUUAUUAUAGUUAAAAAGCUUAUAGUAGAACUUUAAGCCUAGCUAGCUAGUUUACCUCACUAUAUGUAUUAGUCUAGCUAAGCCUUUCCCCCUAUAGAACCUUAUACCUUUUAUUAGGUAUAUAGGAAAAUAAGACUUUUACUUUAAAAAAAUUAGAGUGCUCUAAGUAGGCUUAUACUUAAAUAUAUUAGUAUAGAAUAAUAGAAUAGGAUAUAUAGUUCUAUUUUAUUAGUUUCUAGGACUACUAUAAUAAUUAAUAGGGAUAGUUAGGGGUAUUAAUAUUUAAUUAUUAGAGGUGAAAUUCUUAGAUUUAUUAAAGACUAACUACUGCAAAAGCAUUUACUAAAGAUGUUUUUAUUUAUUAAGAACGAAAGUUAGAGGAUUAAAGAUAAUUAGAUAUUAUUAUAGUCUUAACUAUAAACUAUACUAACUAGGGAUUAGAUAAUAUUAUUUUUUAACUCAUUCAGUACUUUAUGAGAAAUUAAAGUGCUUAGGCUUUAGGGGGAGUAUAGUUAUAAAGCUAAAACUUAAAGAAAUUAAUAGAAGGGCACCACUAGGGGUAAAUAGAAGCUGUUUCGCUCUACCCUAUAUAGCAAGCCUAUUAAGGGUUUAGUAGUGCUACAUAUAAUUACUAGUUACCUCUUUAGUAGCAACAUCCUUAAAUUAUAGGAAACCCUCUAAGGGUGAUACUAUUAAGUAGGGCUUAAGAGAGCUACCCUAUAGCAGCAGAGUAACUACUAUCAGUAUAAUAAGAAUAUAUCCACCUAAGAGGCUACUUACAGCUAAGCUCCCCCUAACCUAAAGAGAAGGUCUAGAGACUUAAUAGGGAUAGGUUAAGCUGCUAUAGCCCUACCUAAGAUAGAGUCUAUACCUACUAAAGAUAGCUAGAAAUCAAAAACUUACGCUAGCCCUCUAGCUAGCAGCAAGCUACCCUAAAAGAGAGCCUACAGCUUAAUUUAACUUAAUAUAGAGAAACUCACUAAGUCUAGAUAUAAUAAGAAUUAAUAGAUUAAGAGCUCUUUCUUAAUUUUAUAGGUAGUAGUGUAUAGCUAUUUUUAGUUAGUAGAGUGAUUUAUCUACUUAAUUAUAAUAAUAAAUAAGAUUUUAACCUGCUAAAUAGCUUAUAUUACUUUAGCAGUAUGCUAGCUUCUUAGAGGGACUAUCAGCUUAAGCUAAUAGAAGUUUAAGGUA